CCUACGGGAGGCAGCAGUGGGGAAUAUUGCACAAUGGGCGCAAGCCUGAUGCAGCCAUGCCGCGUGUGUGAAGAAGGCCUUCGGGUUGUAAAGCACUUUCAGCGGGGAGGAAGGCGGUGAGGUUAAUAACCUCAUCGAUUGACGUUACCCGCAGAAGAAGCACCGGCUAACUCCGUGCCAGCAGCCGCGGUAAUACGGAGGGUGCAAGCGUUAAUCGGAAUUACUGGGCGUAAAGCGCACGCAGGCGGUCUGUCAAGUCGGAUGUGAAAUCCCCGGGCUCAACCUGGGAACUGCAUUCGAAACUGGCAGGCUAGAGUCUUGUAGAGGGGGGUAGAAUUCCAGGUGUAGCGGUGAAAUGCGUAGAGAUCUGGAGGAAUACCGGUGGCGAAGGCGGCCCCCUGGACAAAGACUGACGCUCAGGUGCGAAAGCGUGGGGUGCAAACAGGAUUAGAUACCCGGGUAGUC
rnacentral:rRNA from 1 species